rnacentral:rRNA from 1 species
GGAGGUUGUGCCCUUGAGGCGUGGCUUCCGGAGCUAACGCGUUAAGUCGACCGCCUGGGGAGUACGGCCGCAAGGUUAAAACUCAAAUGAAUUGACGGGGGCCCGCACAAGCGGUGGAGCAUGUGGUUUAAUUCGAUGCAACGCGAAGAACCUUACCUGGUCUUGACAUCCACAGAACUUUCCAGAGAUGGAUUGGUGCCUUCGGGAACUGUGAGACAGGUGCUGCAUGGCUGUCGUCAGCUCGUGUUGUGAAAUGUUGGGUUAAGUCCCGCAACGAGCGCAACCCUUAUCCUUUGUUGCCAGCGGUCCGGCCGGGAACUCAAAGGAGACUGCCAGUGAUAAACUGGAGGAAGGUGGGGAUGACGUCAAGUCAUCAUGGCCCUUACGACCAGGGCUACACACGUGCUACAAUGGCGCAUACAAAGAGAAGCGACCUCGCGAGAGCAAGCGGACCUCAUAAAGUGCGUCGUAGUCCGGAUUGGAGUCUGCAACUCGAUUCCAUGAAGUCGGAAUCGCUAGUAAUCGUGGAUCAGAAUGCCACGGUGAAUACGUUCCCGGGCCUUGUACACACCGCCCGUCACACCAUGGGAGUGGGUUGCAAAAGAAGUAGGUAGCUUAACCUUCGGGAGGGCGCUUACCACUUUGUGAUUCAUGACUGGGGUGAAGUCGUAACAAGGUAACCGUAGGGGAACCUGCGGUUG